rnacentral:rRNA from 1 species
UACGGGGGGGGCAAGCGUUGUUCGGAAUUACUGGGCGUAAAGGGCUCGUAGGUGGCCAACUAAGUCAGACGUGAAAUCCCUCGGCUUAACCGGGGAACUGCGUCUGAUACUGGAUGGCUUGAGUUCGGGAGAGGGAUGCGGAAUUCCAGGUGUAGCGGUGAAAUGCGUAGAUAUUGGGAAGAACACCGGUGGCGUAAGCGGCUUGCUGGGCUUUAACUGACACUGAGGAACGAAAGCUAGGGGAGCGAAUGGG